CAGCAGCCGCGGUAAUACGAAGGGGGCUAGCGUUGUUCGGAUUUACUGGGCGUAAAGGGCGUGUAGGCGGACUGAUAAGUCAGGGGUGAAAUCCCAAGGCUCAACCUUGGAACUGCCUUUGAUACUGUUUGUCUUGAGUUCGAGAGAGGUAAGUGGAACUGCGAGCGUAGAGGUGAAAUUCGUAGAUAUUCGCAAGAACACCAGUGGCGAAGGCGGCUUACUGGCUCGAAACUGACGCUGAGGCGCGAAAGCGUGGGGAGCAAACAGGAUUAGAUACCCCCGUAGUCCCUGUCUCUUAUAC
rnacentral:rRNA from 1 species